CGCUAGCUACAGGCUUAACACAUGCAAGUCGAGGGGUAGCAGGGUAGCAAUACCGCUGACGACCGGCGCACGGGUGAGUAACACGUAUCCAACUUCCCAUAACUCAGGGAUAGCCUUUCGAAAGAAAGAUUAAUACCUGAUAGUACUUUUUCAAGGCAUCUUGAGAAAGUUAAAGAUUUAUUGGUUAUGGAUGGGGAUGCGUUCCAUUAGAGUAGUUGGUGAGGUAACGGCUCACCAAGUCUUCGAUGGAUAGGGGUUCUGAGAGGAAGGUCCCCCACAUUGGUACUGAGACACGGACCAAACUCCUACGGGAGGCAGCAGUGAGGAAUAUUGGCAAUGGGCGAGAGCCUGAACCAGCCAAGUAGCGUGAAGGAAUGAAGGUCCUAUGGAUUGUAAACUUCUUUUAUAGUAGAAUAAAGUGAUCCACGUGUGGAUUUUUGUAUGUAUACUAUGAAUAAGGAUCGGCUAACUCCGUGCCAGCCGCGGC
rnacentral:rRNA from 1 species